rnacentral:lncRNA from 1 species
CUCUUCAUGCCACUGGCCGAGCUCCUAUCAGGCGUUUGAAGGAGGCAGGUUCUAAGGAUUUGUAUCCUGAUGGCUGCUGAACCAUCUGCUCCAGAUUCAAGGGCGGCCGUCCUCAGGAGACCCCGACACUUCACAUCCCUGGUAGGAUAUGAGGCCCGGCCCAAUGGGCCGUCAGAGGAGGGUGUGGACUCUGAGCCUCAGAAGCAGGAGCUGACAGAGAAGAACCAAGUGUGCUGGCGCGUGUGCAGACAGGUUCCUGGAGCAAGAGUGAGGAGAUCAGGGUCCCAUCACUGGGACACUUUAGGUAAGUCGCUCCUCUUCCACCAGUCCUGUCUAUACAGCAGGAUGACGGUACCCAUUGCUGCCGGCCACCCAGGAAUCCUCUGGAGUUUGAGUGUGAUCCCAUGUGGGAAAGCAAUCUGUGCUCGUAGGUGGGAGGAAGGACCAGUGCACUUUCAAGGAAUUACAUUAACAGAGACACCCCAGAUAUCACGGAACUCUGCAUGGCAGACAUCAAAUUAA